UCAAUUUUUCCAACUUCCACGGUUUUGUCCUUGAAAUAAUAUAUCGCAAAUGCCAUUGUGGAGGAUAAUUAAUGUUAUCACUGACAAUUAUGUUUGUUUUUGGCAACCGCGACCGUUAGUUAACAUCAAAGAUGCUGUACCGUCGGGUGAGAUGCGCGCGAACCACAGCUCUUUGACGCAAACGGUGCAAACGGAUCGCACGGCCUGCUAUCGCGAGAGGUGCGCGACUGCAUCGAAAAGCAUGUUGGGAUUAAGCGGGAGAUUUAGCUUGCUUCUGUAGUUGGCUAACGUUACCUCAUUUUUAUAUGGCUACCUCUCGGUCCAGUUUGACGUUAACAGCAGAUGUUUUUAGCCGUGCACAACAAGCGAAUUAAUGGCAAAACGUCUAGGACCUUACAAAAGAUACUUGCGCGGCACAGACGCAGUACCAAGGAGAACUAAGUUCAGAUGGAAUGCAAAGAGAAGCCAAGAAGAUGGCAGUUCAAGUUCAAAUAAUGAGGAUGGUGAUGACAGUUACCUAAAUGUGUAAACACAGAAGAUGACAUGAGGAAUGCAUCCAACAGUGAAGAUGAAGAGGAUGAAGUAGACAAUGAAGACUUUUCCACAACUGGGCUGUUGGGUACUGAUAUUCAAGAGGUAAAUACAUAAUUACACAGUUUUAGCCCCACUGGUUAUUAUGUGUUCUUUCCAACCUAUUGCUCCAAGGCGACAAUGCUGGGCCGACUGCAAAUUGGUGAGCACAUUCAUGCUUCUCAGAGGAUGUACCCUGUCAACUAUGUUGACAUUAUUACUUUUUGUCCAGUGCCACCCUAACUCCAUUCUCCCACUCCUGGCAUUCUCCUAAUAUGCACCAAGCCAGUGGCAGCAGAGGACCUGCACAAAUUCAAUGAGAUUAUUUUAUUCAUCAAAUUAUUUUUUUCUCUUUCCCUUGUUAA